rnacentral:rRNA from 1 species
GUGAACGCUGGCGGUAGGCCUAACCCAUGCCAGUCGAACGGCAGUACAGUAAGAGCUUGCUCUUACGGGUGGCGCGUGGCGGACGGGUGAGGAAUACAUCGGAAUCUACUUUUUCGUGGGGGAUAACGUAGGGAAACUUACGCUAAUACCGCAUACGACCUACGGGUGGAAGCAGGGGAUCUUCGGACCUUGCGCGAUUGAAUGAGCCGAUGUCGGAUUAGCUAGUUGGCGGGGUAAAGGCCCACCACGGCGACGAUCCGUAGCUGGUCUGAGAGGAUGGUCAGCCACACUGGAGCUGAGACACGGUCCAGACUACUGCGAGAGGCAGCAGUGGGGAAUAUUGGACAAUGGGCGCAAGCCUGAUCCAACCAGAGCGCGUGGGUGGAGGAGGCGUUCGGGUUGUAAAGACCCUUUGUUGGGAAAGAAAAGCAGCAGGUUAAUACCCCGCUGUUCUGACGGUACCCAAAGAAUAAGCACCGGCUAACUUCGUG